AGCGAACGCUGGCGGCAGGCCUAACACAUGCAAGUCGACCGAACCAUUCGGGGUUAGUGGCGGACGGGUGAGCAGCCGGUGGGAACGUGCCUUGAGGUUCGGCAUAACUCAGGGAAACUUGUGCUAAUACCGACUGUGCCCUUCGGGGGAAAGGUUUAUGGACUUUAGGGCGGCCGGCGUCUGCUUAGCUAGUUGGUUGCGGUAAUGGCUCACCCAGGCGACGAUCCGAAGUUGGUAUGAGAGGAUGAUCAGAUACAUUGUGACUGAGCCACGGCCCAAACUCCUACGGGAGGCAGGAGUGGGUGAUCGUGCGCAGUGGGCUGAAGGCUGACGGAGCCAUGCCGCGUGAAUGAUGAAGGUCGGAGGAUAGUAAAAUUCUUUCACCGGGGACGAUAAUGACGGUACCCGGAGAAGAAGCCCCGGCUAACUUCGUG
rnacentral:rRNA from 1 species